rnacentral:rRNA from 1 species
UGGGGAAUAUUGGACAAUGGGCGCAAGCCUGAUCCAGCAACGCCGCGUGGAGGACGAAGGCCUUCGGGUCGUAAACUCCUGUCAGGCGGGACGAAGGUGUGAGGGUAAAUAAUCCUUACGCUUGACGGUACCGUCAGAGGAAGCCCCGGCUAACUCCGUGCCAGCAGCCGCGGUAAUACGGAGGGGGCGAGCGUUAUUCGGAAUUAUUGGGCGUAAAGGGCGCGUAGGCGGCUUGGCAAGUCAAAGGUGAAAUCCCUCGGCUCAACUGAGGAACUGCCUUUGAAACUGCCUGGCUUGAGGCCGGGAGGGGGUAGCGGAAUUCCCAGUGUAGCGGUGAAAUGCGUAGAUAUUGGGAGGAACACCAGUGGCGAAGGCGGCUACCUGGACCGGUUCUGACGCUGAUGCGCGAAAGCGUGGGUAGCAAACAG